rnacentral:rRNA from 1 species
UACAGAGGGUGCAAGCGUUGUUCGGAAUCACUGGGCGUAAAGCGCAUGUAGGUGGUAUAGUAAGUUGAAUGUGAAAUCCCUUGGCUCAACCGAGGACGUGCAUUCAAAACUGCUAAACUAGAGUAUCGGAGGGGGUGGUAGAAUUCCUAGUGUAGAGGUGAAAUUCGUAGAUAUUAGGAGGAAUACCCGUGGCGAAGGCG